rnacentral:rRNA from 1 species
AAUAUUGCACAAUGGAGGGAACUCUGAUGCAGCAACGCCGCGUGAGUGAAGAAGGUUUUCGGAUCGUAAAACUCUGUCAUUGGGGAAGAAUAAAUGACGGUACCCAAGGAGGAAGCCCCGGCUAACUACGUGCCAGCAGCCGCGGUAAUACGUAGGGGGCGAGCGUUGUCCGGAAUUAUUGGGCGUAAAGGGUGCGUAGGCGGCCUUUUAAGUCAGAUGUGAAAGGCUACGGCUUAACCGUAGUUAGCAUUUGAAACUGGUUGGCUUGAGUGCAGGAGAGGAAAGUGGAAUUCCUAGUGUAGCGGUGAAAUGCGUAGAGAUGUGGAGGAACACCAGUGGCGAAGGCGGCUCUUUGGUCUGUAACUGACGCUGAGGCGCGAAAGCGUGGGGAGCAAACA